rnacentral:rRNA from 1 species
AAACUUCACACGAUCUUUGUUCUGCAUCGAUGAAGACGCAGCGAAUGCGAUAAGUAG